CUUGCUAUGCUCCCCUUUUGUAGGUGGCCUCUUUCUCAUUCUUUAUUUUUUUUCUUCAAGAAUCUUUUAAACUUCCUAGUGAUGAGGGUCAUUUCUUCAUCUUGCUCAUCAUUUUCUAUUUAAUCAGAUUCCUCAUCAAGUUGAGCAGUAGAUUUGAGGGCGAUUGUCCUCUUUUUCUUGACAUCUUUUUCUCGAUGUUAUUUCAUGCUUAGCUCGUGUGUCAUUAGCGAUCCUAGAAACUCCU
rnacentral:lncRNA from 1 species